rnacentral:tRNA from 1 species
AGAAAAGUAAACUAAAUAAAGUUAGUAGGUUCAUACCCUAAAUAUAGAAAUUAAUUCUCUUUUCUA